CUCGUAGUUGGAUCUCGGUGCCGGUCUGGCGGUCCGCCUCGCCGCGGUCUCACUGCCAGUCCCGGAGCCAUCCCGCCGGCCUUCCCUCGGUGCUCUUUACCGAGUGUCUUGGGUGACCGGAACGUUUACUUUGAACAAAUUAGAGUGCUCCAAGCAGGCGCGUCCCGCCCGCAUAGCCCAGCAUGGAAUAAUGGAAUAGGACCUCGGUUCUAUUUUGUUGGUUUUCGGAACCCGAGGUAAUGAUUAAUAGGGACAGACGGGGGCAUUCGUAUUGCGACGCUAGAGGUGAAAUUCUUGGACCGUCGCAAGACGAACUACUGCGAAAGCAUUUGCCAAGAAUGUUUUCAUUAAUCAAGAACGAAAGUUAAAGGUUCGAAAGCGAUCAAAUACCGCCCUAGUUCUAACCAUAAACGAUGCCGACCAGCGAUCCGCCGGAGUUCCUCCGAUGACUCGGCGGGCAGCUUCCGGGAAACCAAAGUGUUUGGGUUCCGGGGGAAGUAUGGUUGCAAAACUGAAACUUUUAGGAAUUGACGGAAGGGCACC
rnacentral:rRNA from 1 species